AACGGGACUACUGCGCAUGUAGCAGGUGCAUAUAUGUUGCUCCUCCAUCUUGAGAAACAGUUUCAUCCCCAAAAUACACUUUAAACAAAAUAAUACUGGCUGAUGUGUUAAUGGUGCAGCGGAUGGAGAAUGCAGUGGGGAGGAUUGAGGUCAGGGCAGUGAGGCAGCAGCUUGCUCGGUCUGUCAGUGCUGUCAAAGUCCAGCACUGACUCGCUGAUGGGAAACAAGCACAUGCUGGGGGAGUCGAAAAGCUGUCAGCUUUUUACAUUUUAAAAAAAAAUUGCACCGACAUUCACGAUUAAGACUGCUGGACCAAUCAAUUUAAGAAUGGAGCUGACCAAAACAUCCCUUUUCCUCAUCUCUUUAUGCUUCUGGAUUGAACUAGGUUUGUCCAGUGAUAAGUCUUCAAAGAAAGGAAAGUCAAAGAAGAAGCAACAUCUGUGCCCAUCUGAGCAGUCUGCUGAAGACCUUGCACGAGUACCUGCAAAUUCC